GGUUGUUUUGUCUAUUUUGGGUCUGCGACAUCUGUCACCCCAUUUAUCCCCAGGGUUGAUUCGGGCUGAUCUGGCUGGCUAGGUAUGUGUCCCCUUCCUCCCUCACAAUUCCAUGUGCGUCCCUCCCAAAUCUAUGCACUUGGUCGAAUGGGACAACCUUCCCCAAAGAGUGGAGGACCGGUUUUUCGUCAAGGGUAUAGGAGUAGCUGUGCUCCCCUGCUAGAACCUCCACACAAGCUAUCAUGGUAUGCUUCUUUUGUAAAUCAUUUUGACAAAGCAUGUUUUGAAAAUGAAACCAGAUCAGUCACUUAAAGAACAUGGCAUGUUAACUUGCUCU
ensembl:misc_RNA 7SK 7SK RNA